CAGUAGCCGCGGUAAUACGUAGGUGGCAAGCGUUGUCCGGAAUUAUUGGGCGUAAAGGGCUCGCAGGCGGUUUCUUAAGUCUGAUGUGAAAGCCCCCGGCUCAACCGGGGAGGGUCAUUGGAAACUGGGAAACUUGAGUGCAGAAGAGUAGAGUGGAAUUCCACGUGUAGCGGUGAAAUGCGUAGAGACGUGGAGGAACACCAGUGGCGAAGGCGACUCUCUGGUCUGUAACUGACGCUGAGGAGCGAAAGCGUGGGGAGCGAACAGGAUUAGAUACCCGAGUAGUCCCUGUCUCUUAUAC
rnacentral:rRNA from 1 species